CGUGACUUCAUUGCUCUUCCAUCUGGUGGGAACCCUGAAAACCAUUUGUAAAUUAAUUUUUUACUUUGAAUGCAUGCUGCCGCAUACAGUCAUCGCUGGAUCCUGCACAGACAGCUUGCACUGCUGCUUCAACAUGUCUCCAGCGACAGGCUCGGCUCCCACUGACUCUGAAUGCAGGAGAAUAAAAUCAUUAAAUGCUUUGAGAUACGCCGAUUCCUCCCAGUGCCAGUUAAAAUCUGCCUCUGGCAGCAGCACUUCCCCAGUGACAUUUUCAAAUGCCUCAAGAAGAGUCACCGCACCGCCUGUCAGAUUUCCGCGAGUGGACGCCACCAGCAGCACGGCAGAACAUCUUUUAUUCCCAAUAAAGAUGUGCAAAAUUAUCAAGCCCGAGUUAAUGUGUAGGUUGGAAAUACUUGUCCCAAAUAACAGGAUAGUUUACAACCCGUCUCUACUUUUGACAUGCUGAUAUCCUCAAAUAGCAACAAUAAAGCUUCUGUCUUCUUUCAAGAUAUUUGUCAUCUUUUGAUCUUAAGCCAGAAAAAAUUGAAUUCUGGGAGAUCAAAACUACAAAACUGAUAGCUUAUAUCCUCAGCAAGUGCUUAUCAAGUGUAAUCCAGAAAGAUGGCACAUUUCAAAAGUGGCAAUGAAUAAAGUUCAGCUCCCUGCAAAAAAAGUAAACAAACUUCAAACAGAAGUAGCUUUAGCAGCCCAUGAAUUUCCUUCUAAUACUGAGCU